CAGGCUGCCCAGAGCAGCUGUGGCUACCCCAUCCCUGGAAGUCUUCAAGGCCAGGCUGAACAGGGCAACCUGGUCUAGUGGAAGGUGUCCCUGGCCAUGGAAUGAGGGUUGGAACGAGAUGAGCUUUAAAGUCCCUUCCAACACAGGCUAUUCUAUGCUUCUGUGAUGUGCAAGAGACUCCACAAAGCAGUUUGAGCCCCCACUGACCUUCACCAUGGCAUUGCAGCACAGUGGGAGCUCUGUCGUGUGAGCAGGAUGGCAAUACUAACAAUGAAGGGUGCUUGGGCUAACAAGGCUGCCCCUCUUCUAUCUCUCCUGCUUCAACAUCAGCCCUGCUUCUACAUCUCACUGUAUCCCCAGUCUGGGGAUGUAUCCUCUGUUCUCCCACCAGCAUGUGGCUCCCACCAAUUGCUGAAUAGGGCUAUACCACCAAAGACACUAUACAGCACCACUGCACAUUCAAACUCCAUUUAAGACUGGGAUUAACUCAACAGCCUGAUAUUUUUUACAAGGUUGUUUUCACUAAGGCCACUUGCUGGUAUUGACGACAGAAAAGAAAGUUUAAAUAUAUACAUAACACACGAAAACACCCACGGAGAAUUAGUGAGAUUGCUGAAAAUACUUGUUACAAGGACAAGAUUCAAAACACGAAGAUUGUGAUUACUUUCCAAGAAAAAUGUCUCAGACUAAACCCUUGGGGACUUCGGAAUACCACAG